AGGGCAAUGCUAAUCUUCCCAGUAUUGUUCCAACAUUCGUCUAUCUGCUGCCAAAGGAAAGAAAAUAAAGAAACAGACGCUGAUCUUUAACUAGAAUUGACCACUAAAUCUGUGAGAUAUGGGGCCACUAAAAGGAUGGACCCUAAACCCAAUGACUUUUGUCCAUAUAAGAAGAGAAAUGGACACAGAAACACCCAGAUACAUGGAGAAGAAGACAAUGUGAAGACAGAAGCAGAGGUUGGAGUGAUGUGUCUACAAGACCAAGGGAGGCCAAGAAUUGCCUGCAACCACCAGAAGCUAGGAGAGAGGUGGGAACAUCGAGAUUCUCCCUCAGGAGCCUGCAGAAGUAAGCGCCUCUGCUGACACCUGGA